rnacentral:tRNA from 1 species
GGGCGGAUAGCUCAGUUGGUAGAGCAAGGGACUGAAAAUCCCUGUGUCCCCGGUUCGACUCCGGGUCUGCCCACCA